rnacentral:rRNA from 1 species
ACAGUCGAACGAUGAAGCCCAGCUUGCUGGGUGGAUUAGUGGCGAACGGGUGAGUAACACGUGAGCAACCUGCCCCUGACUCUGGGAUAAGCGCUGGAAACGGCGUCUAAUACUGGAUAUGUCCCGUCACCGCAUGGUGUGCGGGUGGAAAGAUUUUUCGGUUGGGGAUGGGCUCGCGGCCUAUCAGCUUGUUGGUGAGGUAAUGGCUCACCAAGGCGUCGACGGGUAGCCGGCCUGAGAGGGUGACCGGCCACACUGGGACUGAGACACGGCCCAGACUCCUACGGGAGGCAGCAGUGGGGAAUAUUGCACAAUGGGCGGAAGCCUGAUGCAGCAACGCCGCGUGAGGGAUGACGGCCUUCGGGUUGUAAACCUCUUUUAGCAGGGAAGAAGCGAGAGUGACGGUACCUGCAGAAAAAGCACCGGCUAACUACGUGCCAGCAGCCGCGGUAAUACGUAGGGUGCAAGCGUUAUCCGGAAUUAUUGGGCGUAAAGAGCUCGUAGGCGGUCUGUCGCGUCUGCUGUGAAAUCCCGAGGCUCAACCUCGGGCUUGCAGUGGGUACGGGCAGACUAGAGUGCGGUAGGGGAGAUUGGAAUUCCUGGUGUAGCGGUGGAAUGCGCAGAUAUCAGGAGGAACACCGAUGGCGAAGGCAGAUCUCUGGGCCGUAACUGACGCUGAGGAGCGAAAGGGUGGGGAGCAAACAGGCUUAGAUACCCUGGUAGUCCACCCCGUAAACGUUGGGAACUAGUUGUGGGGUCCUUUCCACGGAUUCCGUGACGCAGCUAACGCAUUAAGUUCCCCGCCUGGGGAGUACGGCCGCAAGGCUAAAACUCAAAGGAAUUGACGGGGACCCGCACAAGCGGCGGAGCAUGCGGAUUAAUUCGAUGCAACGCGAAGAACCUUACCAAGGCUUGACAUACAC